CAGAAAUUUAUUCUCUUACAGUUCUGGAGGCAGAAACCUGAAAUGCAGGUGUGGGCAGGGCUGCUGCCCCUCCAACGCUUCCAGGGGAGGACUUUCCCGCCUCCUCCACCUCUGGUGCCCCAGGGGUCCCUUGGCUUGUGGCUGCAUCACUCCAGUCUCUGCCUCACCUUCACAUGCCGUCCUCCUUCCGUGUCUGUCCUCACAUGGUGUUCUCAUCUCCAUGUGUCUCCUCGUCUUAUAAGGACCCCAGUCACGGUGGGUCAGGGUCCACCCCAAAGACCUCAUCUUGACUUGAGCACGUCUGUAAAGACCCUAUUUCCUAAAACGGUCACCUUCAUAGGUUCCCUAGUUAGGCCUUCAACUUGUCUUUUGGGGACACAAUUCAACACAAUGCAAGUGGAAUGGCCACCCCUAACUGUGUAUGGUCAUACUUUAGACAGGGGGUGAAAGAGCCUGAAUUUAUCAAUCCCCUAGUUUAUCAAGCUGGAAACGCUUUGAGGUUUUGAAGGAAUGCCUAAUGAAUGACAGGAUCUAGAACCAAGGUGAGUAACGAAUUGACCCCUAGAAAAAGAAGGGGCUGACCCUGGCUGAGCCCCACCCACCCUGGCCACUACGGGGUUGGUGUAAGUCAUCACCGGCCUGCAUUUGGGAAGCGCAUGAAGUCAGGCUCUGGCUGUCCAUGUAGUCUGUGCCCUCAGGAUCCUUUAGGAACAUUUAUGCCUCCGGUCAGCAUUGCCCCGGCCCUCGGCCCCAAGACUCCUGCCCUCGAUAGGGCAGUGCCCUGGCUCCACACAGGCUGCACCCUCCUCCAAGGUGCACGGGGUCACAGGUCAAGGAACAUGCUUGCCUGGAUUCCAUGCCCACCCAUGUUCUAAGAACUCUGGAAUCUCCUUCCCAAAGGAUGCCAUGCUCACCUCCAGGGCCCGUGCAUGCACCCUAGGCCCAAGGGGGCUGUUACAGGUGGGGGGCACUGUGAUGAAGCCUGGAUGAUAGGCCAGGAGGGAACAUCCCACUACAAGCCAGGUGGACAAAGCAGGCCCCGGAUGGAGUCUCCACUUGUGUGCUUGCUCUAGGCCUGACAAAAGCCAGGGGUAGGCCUCCCUAACGUCCCAGAUCCUGCCCCUGCAGCUCGGGGGCCCCAAGAUCACUUCUAAGUUCAAUGAUUCACAGAACGCAGAAAAGCUGCUGUGUUCACAGUUAAGGUUUGUUACAGUGAAAGGACACAGAUUAAAUCAUUAAAUCAUCAGCAGGAAAAGGUGCAGAGCCGAGUUGAGGGGAGACCCCACGGGAAGUCCUAGCUCAUCUCCCAGGCGAGCCAGAUGUCCCCCGGCUUGGGGACACCACCAGGCCCGUCCUCCUGAGAAGGCCUGUGAAUAAGACUCUGAUCACACUUAUUUCUCUGCCAGACACACCGCCAGGCCCUGGGGGGUCUCCAGACCUUGAACAGCCCUAUGUGCUGUGUAUGAGUUCCUGUGGCUGCCGUGACAAAGUACCCCAAACUGGGUGACUCCACACAACAGAAACUUAUUCUCUCUCAGUUCUGGAGGACGGAAAUUCAAGGUCAAGGUGUCAGUAGGGUCGUGCUCCCUCUGAAGGCUCUAGAGGUGGAUCCUUCUGGCCUCUUCCAGCUACCAGUGUGGCCAGGAAUCUUUGGGGUUCUCUAGUUUGUAGAUGCAUCACUCCAAUCUCUGUCUCCAUCAUCACGUGGCCAUUCUCUGUGUAUCGUUGUUCACAUCAUCUUCCCUCUUUUUUGUAUUACUUUUUUUUUUUGCAAGAGAAGACUUGCCCUAAGCUAGAGACAUUGGAUCAAGGUCCCACCUGACUCCUGACUAAUUACAUCUCAACAAUCCUAGUUUCAAAUAGUGACACAUUCUCAGAUACUGGGACGUAGGACUUCAAUGUGUCUUUCUGGGGGACACAACUCAACCCAUAGCAGGCUGCCAGGCUGUAAUCCCAUGAGAGCACCUCUCCAGGGAAACUCGUCGAGUCAGUGAAGACCCCGGGUCAGCCCCAGCAUUUGUUCAGUCUGCAAUCAGCAGCUGAACACGGUGGGUACAAUGGUCACAGAAAUAGUUUUAAACAAACCAUUGCUGAGAUCCACAAGAAGUGAGUUGAGAAAUCAAAAUAAAAUCAACAAUUCUGAGUCUUUGGUUCUCUCAACAACAGAAACAACAGAAAAGCUUGAACUCAUGAUUUGUGCCAUGAGUAUCAAAGUCAGAGAUUCAGAGGCCAAGAAGGAAAGCUGAACCUUGGCAAAGAAAGCUUUCUAACGAAUGCCCUUGUUUCCACCAUUUUCCGUCCAGUAUUUCAUGUGGUAUUUUCUCACAAUACAGCCGCCAACCCCACAUGGCUCCGAAGACAAAAUUAUCAGAAAGAAAAACAAGACAAACUGUUUGGUUAACACACAGACUGGCAUUUGCAGGGUCUCCAUCAGGAUCUGGCCACUCUGCUUCCUAAAGUGGGAGCCACGGCACAGCCUUCGGUCCUCCUCGCCCUGUGUGAGCUCCAGUGCUGGCUCAGGCUGGUCUGGGGCUCCUGCGAGGUGGGAAGCCCAGGUCGAGGGGAUCGUCCUGCCAGCUGUGACCCUGCCGAAGGGAAGGACAUUAUUAAGUCCAAGAACAGUAUUUAUGUCUCUCCGACCACGGUUUUAUUGCCUUGUGGUGUGGAGUGUGGUUUGGGUAAGAAAUCACAAAUUUCCAUAUUAGGAAAACUACUGCGGACCGAGGAAGGAAAUGUCACUGAUAAUCCUGGUGGCUGCCUUUACGGGUUCAUCGAGACGAUUAAGUGACCCUCUGGUCGAGAGUCUGGAGUGUGGAGGUGAAGUCACUUUGCGCACGUGAGACCUCAGCUGAGGAGGAGGGUUUGAUCUCUGAGGAAAGGGCAGGCUGGCAGAGUGGAACACUCGUACCGAGGACCCUUGUCUGCAGUGCCAACCCAAUGAGAAGCGUAAUCGUUUUAGCCCUAUGGCAGUCCUGGGGGAGGUGACUCCCACCUCACGAAUCAGGAUUCGGAGGCUCUGAGAGGUCAGUGUGUCCAAACUCGGGCAGUCAGGAACGUGGAGCUGGAUUUGGAACCACCCCUGUCUGGGUCCAGGCCCUGCCCAUCCCGCCGGAGCGCGGCUCCCCGCUACCCCGGAACCCUCAGACAGCCGUUGGGCCGCGUGCCUCCACAGCUCCGAGCAGCGAGUCAGGCUCCGCGGUCUGUGAGCGGGGCAGCCCCUGAGGCGGGGUCAGAGGGAGGGAGGGGCUCCCGUCUCUGCCCCUGCCCUGGGCCCCUUCUGGCAGUCACCAGGCAAGAAGCUUGGAGGCCUGGCUGCAGGGCGGAGGGGAGCCUUUGAAGCAGAGCUCAGAC
ensembl:lncRNA